rnacentral:rRNA from 1 species
AGCGAACGUUUGCGGCGGGCCUAACACAUGCAAGUCGAACGCACUAGCAAUAGUGAGUGGCGCACGGGUGCGUAACACGUGGGUAAUCAACCCUUCAGCCUGGGAUAACGACUCGAAAGGGUCGCUAAUACCGGAUACGGCGCGAGAGGCUUCGGCUUCUCACGAGAAAGCCACGCAAGGGGCACUGAAGGACGAGCCUGCGGCCCAUCAGCUAGUUGGUGAGGUAAGAGCUCACCAAGGCUAAGACGGGUAGCUGGUCUGAGAGGAUGAUCAGCCACACUGGAACUGAGACACGGUCCAGACUCCUACGGGAGGCAGCAGUGGGGAAUAUUGCGCAAUGGGCGAAAGCCUGACGCAGCCACGCCGCGUGAGCGAUGAAGGCCUCGGUCGUAAGACUCUGUGGGAGGAGACGAAGAAAGACCUGUGAGAGCAGGCCUUGACGGUAUCUCCUUAGUCAAGCACCGGCUAACUCCGU